GUGAACGCUUGCAAUAUACUUAACACAUGUUAGUUAAAUGCUUUAAAAGCAUAGCGUACAGGUGAGUAUUUCUAAGAAUUUACCUUUAAGAAAUGAUUAAGUCGUAUUUAAAUUUUUUAAAGAGCAUGCAAAUGGCGAUAAUAUCAUUAAAAAGUAUAACACUUCUUUUAGAUAAGCUUAGCGUGGGAUUAGGUUGUUGGUGAGGCAAGCUUACCAAGCCGAUGAUCUCUAACUGGUUUGAGAAAAUGUACAGUCACAUUGGGACUGAGAUAAGGCCCAGGCUUUUAUGCCAGCAGUGAGGAAUAUUGGACAAUGAACGAAAGUUUGAUCCAAUGAUAUUGCGUAAAUGAGGAAAGCGCAAAAGGUUUAAUUUAAAUUAGACCGGUUGUAAAAUUUAUUGCUCAAAAAAGGAUUAUGACGUUUUUUGAUGAAAAGUCCCGGCUAACUUCGU
rnacentral:rRNA from 1 species